rnacentral:tRNA from 1 species
CUCCUGAUAGCUCAGUUGGUAGAGCGUUGGACUGUAAUUGAAACUAUAUCAUAGAUUAUCCACAGGUCGCGUGUUCGACUCACGCUCGGGAGA